rnacentral:rRNA from 1 species
AUACGUAGGUGGCGAGCGUUGUCCGGAAUUACUGGGCGUAAAGCGCGGGCAGGCGGUGGUCCAAGUCGGACGUGAAAGCUCCCGGCUCAACUGGGAGAGGUCGUUCGAAACUGGGCCGCUAGAGGGCAGUAGAGGGGCGUGGAAUUCCGGGUGGAGUGGUGAAAUGCGUAGAGAUCCGGAGGAACACCAGAGGCGAAGGCGGCGCCCUGGGCUGCACCUGACGCUGAGCCGCGAAAGCUAGGGGAGCGAACGGGAUUAGAAACCCCGGUAGUCCUAGCCGUAAACGAUGUCCACUAGAUGUCUGGGCGGAGCGCCUGGGCGUCGCAGCUAACGCGUUAAGUGGACCGCCUGGGGAGUACGGCCGCAAGGCUAAA